rnacentral:rRNA from 1 species
GACGAACGCUGGCGGCGCGCUUAACACAUGCAAGUCGAACGGAAAGGCCUGCUUUCCCUUGUGGAUUGCGGGUACUCGAGUGGCGAACGGGUGAGUAACACGUGAGUGAUCUGCCCCCAACUUGGGUAUAAGCCUGGGAAACUGGGUCUAAUUCCCGAUAGGACUGCAGGGUGGUGCCUGUGGUGGAAAACGAUUUUCUAGUGGUUGGGGAUGAGCUCGCGGCCUAUCAGCUUGUUGGUGGGGUAAUGGCCUACCAAGGCGGCGACGGGUAGCCGGCCUGGGAGGGUGGACGGCCACAUUGGGACUGGGAUACGGCCCAGACUCCUACGGGAGGCAGCAGUGGGGAAUAUUGCACAAUGGGCGGAAGCCUGAUGCAGCGACGCCGCGUGGGGGAUGACGGCCUUCGGGUUGUAAACUCCUUUCGACCGCGAGGAAGCCACCUGGUUGGAAGGGUGGUGACGGUAGUGGUAGAAGAAGCACCGGCUAACUACGUG